rnacentral:rRNA from 1 species
GAGCGGCGCACGGGUGCGGAACACGUGUGCAACCUGCCUUUAUCUGGGGGAUAGCCUUUCGAAAGGAAGAUUAAUACCCCAUAAUAUAUUGAGUGGCAUCACUUGAUAUUGAAAACUCCGGUGGAUAGAGAUGGGCACGCGCAAGAUUAGAUAGUUGGUGAGGUAACGGCUCACCAAGUCAAUGAUCUUUAGGGGGCCUGAGAGGGUGAUCCCCCACACUGGUACUGAGACACGGACCAGACUCCUACGGGAGGCAGCAGUGAGGAAUAUUGGACAAUGGGUGAGAGCCUGAUCCAGCCAUCCCGCGUGAAGGACGACGGCCCUAUGGGUUGUAAACUUCUUUUGUACAGGGAUAAACCUACCCUCGUGAGGGUAGCUGAAGGUACUGUACGAAUAAGCACCGGCUAACUCCGUGCCAGCAGCCGCGGUAAUACGGAGGGUGCAAGCGUUAUCCGGAUUUAUUGGGUUUAAAGGGUCCGUAGGCGGAUCUGUAAGUCAGUGGUGAAAUCUCACAGCUUAACUGUGAAACUGCCAUUGAUACUGCAGGUCUUGAGUAAAUUUGAAG